CGGGCCGACUUUACACGCAGCGGAAUUAGCCCGUGCGGCGCCAAGGUUCCACUGAACCGAGGCCAGCCUACUUCCUUACUUCCUUGAUACUCCAUUUUUCUUUUUCUUUCUGUGUGCUUCUCUUGUCAACUUGUCCCUUUCAACAUCAUCCCCUUACUUGUUGGGGCUUACCAACGAAAGCUACUCACACAUGAGUCUCACAUCUUGUGACUAAUCGAUCGCUUCCUUGUGUCUAGCUUGUCUCCCAAGACACUCGCCCAACCGAUAGGCUUUCAUGUCAUCCCGGCUUGAGUCAGCCCAUUACUGACCCGCGUGCAUCCCGCACGUCGAUAGCAAGUAGCAUGACCGUGUACCGAGACUAAGUUGGCAUUCACACUUCUGCCUUGGGCAAGGUCGAACCCUAACACAUGCCCACGUCGCUUGCUCCGUGGCCAAUGAGCACCACGAGGUCCCGACAUAUCUUCCGUAAGCCCACAUGUUUGUCUAACGCCGAUGGCAUAAGGAUCGCCCUCAUACGAACCUCGACCCCGACGUCGACCCGCAAUAUCAGCCUUUCGGCCAAUACUGUCCACGAGACUUCCUGACUCGUGGAAACAUAUGCCGCCCCUUUCUGACGACAUAUGCCCGGUCUCCUAGGCCCCCACGGGUGCCCG
rnacentral:lncRNA from 1 species